rnacentral:misc_RNA from 1 species
AUACUUCUAAAAACUGAAAACUAAGUUAUAGACUGAAUCUCCUAAUUAAAAAUCAGUAUAACCACAACUGCAUUAUCAUUAGUAUUUUUAUCUUGCAACUUUAAAUAUAGUCCUUCUUUAGGAUAUGCAAUUAAUUUCCUGCUACUGCAUAAUCUUCUCAGGGAGGAAGGCAAGUAAUGAAGCCAAGAAAGGGGAUUCAUGUGUACAGUUAAUACAGGAUGCUUCAUCUUGACUACAAAGGAUGGCUACUGUCCUUUCAACCAAAAUACCCCUCUUCCUGAUGCAGAAAAAACAGCUUUAAGACUCGACUUCCAAAUUGAGUAUUUCCUUUCUGACCAUCCAAUAGAUGAUGCUUCAUCACCUUCUCAACAAGAAAGCAUUAAGGCCUCUUUGGCAUGUUCUCAAAAUAGUAUCUUAAGCCGAAGGAAAAUACAAG